rnacentral:lncRNA from 1 species
CCCCACCUUCUCGCUUCAUCUUCAUCAUUUUCUUAAUUUUCUCCAUUUCCUCUCAAGAACAAGUUUUCUUCUCAAGAUUUAAUCUCCAUAAGUUGGUUCUUGAUCUUUUGGUAAGUUUUUCCUUACUAAUCUAGUGGUUCUAUACAUACAUAUACUAGUUUUGUUACAAUUAAACACAUUAAUAUAUGUUAAUAUCCAUAGGGUAAUUCAACCUUCAAGUGUUCUUAGUUAGAAAACCUUCAUCUUCACCUCUUUAUCCACCAAGAAACACACUCAAGGUGAGUUCAUACCCCUCAUUUUCGUUUUUAUCCAAGUUUUUUUUUUUUUUUUUUUUUUUUUUUUUUUUUUUUNNNNNNNNNNNNNGGGGGGGGGAAUACAAGUAAACUUUUAUAAAAACAAAGGUUGUUAUACAUGUUUUGUCUUCAAGUUGUGUAAAAGUAUUAUUUACAUGAAAUCAUGUUAUUACCUAGUAUUAUGAACAUUUAUGUGUGAUAUGUUGUUUAAAAUGCAAAUCUAUGAAAAAUAAGUAUAAACAUGCUAUAUGUUCUUGAGAAAAAGUCACAAAAACAAAACUAUAAAAACUAUGGUUUUUAUGAACAUAAUAUGACUUUUCUAGAAAAAGUAGUGUUAACCAAGUUAUCACAUCAAUUUUGUGGGAUACAAACCAAAAUAUGUGAUUUGGACAUGUGUUAUGAAACUUGUUAAAAAUACCAAGGAUUUGGUUUUACAAAAAGAAAACCUAAAAAACUCACCAUUUUUAUGUAAAAUUAGGGGUUUCUAGCAAAAAUGGUCAUGAUUAGGUUAUGCUACUAUUUUUGUGAGAUUUGAUCUAAAAUAUGUUUGUUUAAACAUACAAGGUUAGCUUGAUUUGAUCUCCACCAAAAAGGUAAAAAUAAAUUUUACCAAGUUAUAACUCAACUUUUACCGUUUGGUGACGUAAAAGGGCCAAAACUAGCAAAUUGGCUUCACCACACUAAAUGUUCAUAUACUUGUGUUAUAUCUAAAUUAUAUAUUAUUUAGGGACAUCUAAACAUAUAUAUAUAUAUAUAUAUAUANAUAUAUAUAUAUAUAUAUGGGCACAACAAAACAUUUAUAAUAAACUAUAAUAAGUAUAGUUUAUGGGUCAUUGACACUAUUUUACCGUUUUGAUACAAUACGAAUAAUUAUAUAAAAGUAUAAUUAAUCUUACACUAUGUAAAUACUAUAGAAAUGUGAUAUUUACACUUACAAUGGUUUUCAUUACACUAUACCUAAACUUGUUGAAACAAUUAUGUGAGACAGAGUCUUCAUCGUACCUACCAGAGGACACACUAAAGUCCUGAAUUAUAACCAGAAUCUCGGUAAGAGAGCGUGACACUUGUUUAUAGAUCUAUACGGGACUGACAAUCCCGAACCUAAGUUGCUAGCUACAGCUACACCGACAGGUCUGGGGUGACAAAUAUUUAACAUUCCGACGCCUAAAGAACGUCAUAGCAAACCAACUUCGGUUUUAGCAUGGUUGUAAUAACUCACAUGGUGAAUCAACAAUACAUUUGGUUUACGGGGUAAUAUGCGUUCAAAUGGUUUUAUAUAAAAUUAAAACUACAUAAUACUAUUUUAAGUAUAGAAAUACUUAUACAUUUUUGUUCUUAGGGUUUUUAUGACUACAACUCAUUUUUAAGAAAAUAUUGGAUUUUCUAGGAACAUACACUAUCAUUUUACAAGGAAAAAGUUACAGAUUCUUCACAUGAAAAACUCUUAUAAACUCACCAACUUAAUUAUUGACACUUUUCAAAACUACUUGUAUUCUCAAAGAAUCGUUACACAGAUAGUCAUAAGGCUUUUUAAGGAUGGGACGUUACGGUGUCGUACUAUUUAUUUUUGUCAUCAUAAUGGAACUGGUUUUGAAACAUACAAUACAUGGUAACAAUGUAACAUUCUCAAUUAUAUUUAUGAUGGUUGCGUUUGCUUUGAUCACUAUUGUACAUUAUGUUGUGAUACUGUUCAUGAAAGUCAUCCACCCCUAGACGUUUCUGCCAUCCUGGUUUUGGGGUGUGACAUAAUAUAUUGACAUAUGGUUUCAUAGUAACUCAACGUCCUUGCUUUUCCAAUCGCCGAUGGAGCUAGCUGAGUUAGAAAUGACGAUAUCAGUUGUGUGGGAAUUCUCUAGCGGUUAUCGUCGCUGAGUCAAGGGUUCAUGUCCUCCAGAAGUAGAUUACUGCCAUUAUAGGAUAAUAUGCUUGAGUUGAAAAUCUCCAAUAGUUUUCCGUCAUCUAGCUUUAACUAUAGUUCAAAGUUAAAUUGUAUGUUUUUAUUUAAUCCAAUCCAACUUCUUCUGCUAUCGUGUUCAUGUUAUAAAUCGUUUCCAAUGAUGUUGGUGGGAAAUAUUUUUACGAUUAUAUUAUUAUCUAGAUGUCAAAGGAAGUGGUUUUGUUGAAUUGUAAUAUUCAUAUGAGGGAAAAAAUUACACACCAAGUGUUUGAUUAUUUGUCAAUACGAGUGAUGACUUGGUAAAUAUCGUGUUAAUCGACGGUAUACUUCUACAGUACAUGAUUUGAUGCCUUUAUGUAGGUUAAAUGAUUCAUAGCACAAGAUGAACGACAAGCUUUAGUUUCAAGCGGCAAAAAGUGUAAUUCAACUAGGCAGCCACAUCAACGAUGAAUAAUCAACCAAAUCAGCAUAAAUGAGUAUGUGGUAGGGGCACCCGAAUCCAAUAGGUAAUGGUGACCAAAUAACCAAGUCAAUAUGGAAUUUGUACCCCUAGAAAGAAAGAAAUUAAUUUCAUAGACCAUUUAAACCAAAACUAGAAAGUUGAUUGGACUAUAGUGACAUUAACUCCAUAAAUUAUAUCUAUGCACCCAUUGUAUGUUUUUGGGUGGUGUAUCUUUCUUAUACUAUUUAAAAGAAUGUGUUUUUAAUGUAGAGUAGUUAUUAGGUUUUAUUGUGAAAGAGUUACUUUUUGAUGUGUUAUUUUGCUGAUGAAGUGUGGGUUUGAUUUGAUGUGUUUCCAUUUUCUGUGUCUCAUAAUUAUAUAUUACAAUAUUUUGCCUUUAAGAAUAGGUGCUCUCAUUGUUGGUGUGUAGGUUUUGUUGCAACUCUUUCCUCUUAUUGUUGAUGUUUUAUGCUAAAGUUCAUUAAAGGGUUUUGAAGUACCUUGGUUACUCUCAGAUCAAAAGUUCAUUGUUGUUCUGUAUAGACGGACAUAAUACACAUUAAGCACAAAAUAGAUCUAAUUACUUGUUGGAG